rnacentral:rRNA from 1 species
GAUGAACGCUGGCGGCGUGCCUAAUACAUGCAAGUCGAGCGAACAGACGAGGAGCUUGCUCCUCUGACGUUAGCGGCGGACGGGUGAGUAACACGUGGAUAACCUACCUAUAAGACUGGGAUAACUUCGGGAAACCGGAGCUAAUACCGGAUAACAUGUUGAACCGCAUGGUUCAACAGUGAAAGACGGUCUUGCUGUCACUUAUAGAUGGAUCCGCGCUGCAUUAGCUAGUUGGCAAGGUAACGGCUUACCAAGGCAACGAUGCGUAGCCGACCUGAGAGGGUGAUCGGCCACACUGGAACUGAGACACGGUCCAGACUCCUACGGGAGGCAGCAGUAGGGAAUCUUCCGCAAUGGGCGAAAUCCUGACGGAGCAACGCCGCGUGAGUGAAGAAGGUCUUCGGAUCGUAAAACUCUGUUAUUAGGGAAGAACAAAUGUGUAAGUAACUAUGCACGUCUUGACGGUACCUAAUCAGAAAGCCACGGCUAACUACGUG